UACGAAGGGGGCGAGCGUUGUUCGGAAUUACUGGGUGUAAAGGGUUCGUAGGCGGUGUGGCAAGUCGGGAGUGAAAUCUCUGGGCUCAACCCAGAGACUGCUUCCGAAACUGCUGUGCUUGAGUGUGAGAGAGGCUCGUGGAAUUGCAGGUGUAGCGGUGAAAUGCGUAGAUAUCUGCAGGAACACCCGUGGCGAAAGCGGCGAGCUGGAUCACUACUGACGCUGAGGAACGAAAGCUAGGGGAGCAAACAGG
rnacentral:rRNA from 1 species